GGGUAAGUUGUCUCACUACAUGGGAUAAGACGUCACAGUGGAUUUUGCAGCUAAUAAUACAAGGAGAAAAUUAUUGUUGUUCUAAUUUUUUUACAUGAAAGUGAACAUCAAAGUCAGUCUCAGAAAAUGUUUAUCAUUGAGCUAAAAAAGAAGUCAUCGAACAAACGUUUUGAAAUUCCUGACCAUGUCUUCUCGCUUUCUCCUCUCCUUUAAACCACUCUUUUGUCUGUAAAAAUAAAGUCAAAAUUUCAAUAUGACAACUGCUAAUAAGCAGACUCUCUAUGUCAAUUUCAAUCCCUUGUAAACAUGUGACAACUAACCCCAAAAUGACUGAGACAUGUUGCCCCAAACUAGCACGUUUGCUAAUUCUAGCUCCAUCUUAAAGUUAGCAUAAAACAGAACAAUGACAGAGAUAUGACAGGAUCCCUUAAUCUCUCCUCUAACAAGUCCACAUGUUUCACUGCUAGGAUUUUUAUCUGGAAGAAGCUUAUUUUAAAACAAAGUUAAAAUAUUUUACUUUGGGUUAUGCGAAAUGGUUAAUUGGCGCUCAUCUCGGCUCACAAUGUCCUCUACUCUUCUCAGACAGGACACAACCCCUAACCAUGUAAAGGGAGAAAACUAGUAUUCCACUUUUUAGUUGCGCCCUCUGGUGGAAAAGAUAAUUGCAAUGUGACAACAAGUCCCGGUCUCCCCUAUUUCAGAGACCAAAAGUUGACUCAAAUUUUGUAUGUUACUUUGAAAAGUGAACCAUGACUUCUCCAGAUCAUGUUUGUGGCUCUGUCAAUAAACUGUGUCCACAGACAA